rnacentral:rRNA from 1 species
GACGAACGCUGGCGGCGUGCUUAACACAUGCAAGUCGAACGCUGAAGCUCAGCUUUUGCUGGUUGGAUGAGUGGCGAACGGGUGAGUAACACGUGAGUAACCUGCCUCCUUCUUUGGGAUAACGCCCGGAAACGGGUGCUAAUACUGGAUAUUCACUGUUCUUCGCAUUGGGGCUGGUGGAAAGGGCGUUUCUGGUGGGGGAUGGGCUCGCGGCCGAUCCGCAUGUUGGAGGUGUGAAGGCCUACCAAGGCUUUGACGGGUAGGCGGCCUGAGAGGGUGACCGGUCACGUAGAGACGGUGCUGCGUCCUAGAGUAGUACGGGGGGGAGAAGCUGGGAAUAUGGGACAAUGGGUGAAAGCGUGAUGCAGCGACGGCGCGUGAGGGAUGGAGGCCGUCGGGUUGUGUACCUCUUUAACUCAUGGUCAAGCCGCAACAAUGGUUGUGGUGAGGGUAGUGGGCAAAGAAGCGACGGCUAACUACGUG